rnacentral:rRNA from 1 species
GACGAACGCUGGCGGCGUGCUUAACACAUGCAAGUCGAACGGAAAGGCCCUGCUUUUGUGGGGUGCUCGAGUGGCGAACGGGUGAGUAACACGUGAGUAACCUGCCCUUGACUUUGGGAUAACUUCAGGAAACUGGGGCUAAUACCGGAUAGGAGCUCCUGCUGCAUGGUGGGGGUUGGAAAGUUUCGGCGGUUGGGGAUGGACUCGCGGCUUAUCAGCUUGUUGGUGGGGUAGUGGCUUACCAAGGCUUUGACGGGUAGCCGGCCUGAGAGGGUGACCGGCCAAAUUGGGACUGAGAUACGGCCCAGACUCCUACGGGAGGCAGCAGUGGGGAAUAUUGCACAAUGGGCGGAAGCCUGAUGCAGCAACGCCGCGUGCGGGAUGACGGCCUUCGGGUUGUAACCGCUUUCGCCUGUGACGAAGCGUGAGUGACGGUAAUGGGUAAAGAAGCACCGGCUAACUACGUG